UACGUAGGGGGCAAGCGUUGUCCGGAAUCAUUGGGCGUAAAGCGCGUGUAGGCGGCUCGGUAAGUCUGCUGUGAAAGUCCAGGGCUCAACCCUGGGAUGCCGGUGGAUACUGUCGAGCUCGAGUCCGGAAGAGGCGAGUGGAAUUCCUGGUGUAGCGGUGAAAUGCGCAGAUAUCAGGAGGAACACCAAUGGCGAAGGCAACUCGCUGGGACGUGACUGACGCUGAGACGCGAAAGCGUGGGGAGCAAACAGG
rnacentral:rRNA from 1 species